rnacentral:tRNA from 1 species
AGAGAUUUAGUAUAUUUUUUAGUAUAGCAUGUUGUCUACUUGCAGGAGUUGUUCUUUA